GAAAGCGCGUGUCUGCGUCGGGUUCUGUUGGAGUGCGUUCGGUGCGCCGUGGGUCCGCGCUGCUUCCACCCAACUUCCUGUUAGUUUCUCUCCUGUCACAAUGGCAUGAUCUCGGCUCACUGCGACCUCUGCUUCCUGGGUUCAAGGAUUCUCCUGCCUCAGCCUCCCAAGUAGCUGGGAUUACAGUUUCCAUCAUUAUCUUCUAUGGAGUUCUUCAUUCCCACAUCUGUGGACCUUAAAAUCCUACCGUUGAGUGCCUGCCUUGGAUCAGCAGUCAGUUCGUUACCUUGGUUCUCAGACGAUGCUUGCAACAACGCCAUGCGAUUCGCCCACUCUUGGUAGGCAGAGAAGCCUUCAGAGAAGGAUCCUGACUCG
rnacentral:lncRNA from 1 species